rnacentral:misc_RNA from 1 species
GAUGAAGAACGCAGCAAAAUGCGAUAAGUAAUGUGAAUUGCAGAAUUCAGUGAAUCAUCGAAUCUUUGAACGCACAUUGCGCCCGCCAGUAUUCUGGCGGGCAUGCCUGUUCGAGUGUCAUUUCAACCCUCAAGCCCUCGGGUUUGGUGUUGGGGAUCGGCGAGCCUUUCUGGCAAGCCGGCCCCGAAAUCUAGUGGCGGUCUCGCUGCAGCCUCCAUUGCGUAGUAGUAAAACCCUCGCAACUGGAACGCGGCGCGGCCAAGCCGUUAAACCCCCAACUUCUGAAUGUUGACCUCGGAUCAGGUAGGAAUACCCGCUGAACUUAAGCAUAUCAAUAAGCGGAGGA